CCAGGCCCCGCCCAUCCCGCCCGCGGAGGGGGCGGGGCUACCUCAGUGACGCCAGAGGAGCGCCCUUCCCGCCACCACGAGGUUGGCGGCGGCAGCUGGCGCCAUGCGGCGGCGCGCUGGCCUCGCGGGCGACGCGCAGAAGACUGAGACCAAAGAGGAAUUUGUUAAAGUUAGAAGGAGGGAUUUGGAAAGGCUGACAACUGAGGUUAUGCAAUUGCGGGAUUUCUUACCCAAAAUACUGAAUGGGGAUAUCCUGGCGACAUUCCAGAAACUGGAUGCUGUUGAAUCGAACAUGGAGAAAAAGGAGGAGGAAAUAGAGCAGCUGAAAAUGGAUUGUGAACACUUCAGAGCGCGUCUGGAAACAGCCCAGGCAGAUUGCAUGAGGGAGAAGAAGGAGAAACUAGACCUCCGCCAGCAGCUGAAUGAGGCCAAGCAGCAGCUCCUGCAGCAAGCGGAGUAUUGCACAGAAAUGGGUGCAGCGGUGUGCACGUUGCUGUGGGGUGUCUCUAGCAACGAGGAAGCUGUUAAAACCCUUCUAGGAGGAAGUAAAGCAGUAAAGUUUUUCACAAUCACUGCACAGACCAUGGAGAGCUUUGUGAAGUCAUUAAGUGAAGACAUGAAACAGCAGGAUUUGGAUUCUGAUGAAAAUCAGUUUGUAUUAGCUUUGGCAGGGAUUGUAACAAAUGUGGCAGCACUGGCAUGUGGCCGUGAGUUCUUGGUUAGUUCAAGUCGUGAAUUACUGGACACCAUGAUGCACCUACUGGGAGACAUGAAGCCGGGGCUCUGUACCAAAUUCAAAGUGCUAAUGCUAAUGUCACUGUACAACGUGAGUAUCAACUUGAAAGGCUUAAAGUACAUCAGUGAAAGUCCAGGUUUUAUUCCUUUGCUUUGGUGGCUAUUGAAAGCUUCUCUUGCCUGUCUCUAAUGCCCUAAGCAAUCUCUGCAUAGAAGUAACUUGACAUACAGCGUACCUGAAAGCGAAAGACUCAGAGAGGGAGUUGAGUUUCUUCUCAGAGUGCAAACCAAGGUAAAGCUUCAGGUCCAACAUUUAUGAACAUUUUGCAUCUGGCUGCAUCGGUGCUCAAGACAGCACAGGACACAGCUCAGCAUGACUGACCAACAUGAACAUCCCUUGGCUGCUGCUGGGAUCUCCGUGGGCAUGUCAUCAAACUGCAUUGUCAGGGCCACCACCCUCCCCUCCACCCCAGGUCUCACACCUUCCUCCCAGCCCUGGGCAUUGCCCUUGGGUGCUGCUGAGCCCUGCUGAUUUGGCAUCAUGCUUGCCAGCUCCUGAAAACCAACAGGACCUGGCUGAACACAGCAAUGGCUGUGGGCCAGGUGAGGCAGGUGGUGUCCCCAAGGCCUUGGAAAGGCCAUGAAGGUGAGUGGUUUGGCUGGGCAUGGGGUUCUGUGGAGAAGGCCAACAACACAGGUUACCUUCAGCCCCCUGGCCCAGGAGAGCAGGGAAGGUGUGGGCUGCUUUGGAAACCUGCCCACCACAUGUGAAACCUUGUCUCAAGAAGCAGCUGCUCCCCAUGCUGGCUCUGUGCACCAUGUACCAAAUAGUCACGUCUCACGUGAUGGGCAACCAAGCUUUCAGCUGUCUGGGGCUUGCUGGAAGUCCAUCCAAACAGGAUUUAAGAGCAACACUAAAAUCUCAUCCAAGUACAAGAGUACCCUGAGGGAAAGAACAAAUAUGAUACAAUGUGAAAGAGAGAAAAUUCAGAUCAGAUGUAGGGAAACCAGACAUGAUUCCUCACUUAAUUCUUUGCUCAUAGAAGUCACCGGUGGUGGGUGCCACUUGUGCAGGAGAAAAUUAAAUUUUAACAAAAGGCUGUCCAGACCAAGUUUGAAAAAAAGCUUUUCUAAAUCACUACCUGCACAUAAAUAAUUAUAAAAAUAUACAUGAUCUAAAAGCUUAGUGUUUUCUUAAUCUUAGCUGGACUUGACUGUAAAUAAAUACUCCAGGCAACUGUUUUGUGUGUCUUGCAUAUACUGGGGUUUGAUUUGGCCCUGUAGAGUGCUCCUACCCUUUCUCCCAGUAUGCUUCCCUUGGGUUUAAUGAGCAGAGCCCUUGUGGGCUUUGCUCUGCGCUUGCUUGCAGACAGCUCACUCGAGAAUCAGCGUUUGUCUUCUGGUGCUGUGACCAGGAGUGGGGAGAGGAUGCUGAGGGUUCUGCUUUUGGGAAGAGACCCUGGUGGCUCCGCUUGUUCCGGAGCAGAGGCAGUUACGGGCAUGUCCUCUCCUCCUGGGGGUGUAAGACUCCUGAGGGGGGAGUCUGGUGUUGUUAGGGUGUCCCUUCUAAUGUCACCCUAACCACUGAAGAAUGUGCCUGCGGCUGUGAGACCAGGUUUCAGAGCUAGUGGGUAUACACCAGUAUUUCCCCAUGGAAUAGCUGCCUUUCUGAUGAAAAGUUGAAACCUAACUGUUUUCACCUGAAAAUCCAAACUCUUUCUCGGGAGAAAACCCCAAAUCCAACCAUUUCCUACACCAUUUCAAAUAUUUCAGUUUGCAGGUCUGCUCUUUUCAAUAACAACAACAACAAAAAAGAGAUGGAAAAAAAAUCAAGAUUUUCCUGGGAAACCAAUUCUUUAGUAAGGUUUUUCAGUUUGGUUCUGUAACAGAACAUCUUGCAGCUGACCUCCUGGUUUGAAUCCCAGCAAGGGCUGGAGCCCGUGAGGCAGGAUCAGGUCUCCUUUGCCUGGCUCCCAGGGCUCUCACCGUCCGGUCACACACCACAAACUGUGCCUGGUGCAGGGUGAGCUCCACAGAGCAGGGCUGUUCCCUGUUACAGAGGAAAAGCAGCUUGUAUCUUAACACAUUUUGCCUGUCAGGCAUUUCAAAGGCUUCUCCUCUGAGUUGGGGCUGCAGGCACUGCCUACAUUUCCUUUUUGCAGAAAUUGGCAGGUUGAGCUAUGCUAAAUUCCCUAAUCCUGUUUAUCUGCUGUCUCCUUCCCAAGAGGCACAAGGCUCCCAUGGCCUCUCUGAGUUUUCUUUUAUGCUGUUACUGGAGUUAUAUUUGCCUGCUUGAAGGCCAAACAACAGGCAGGGUGAGAGGAAGGCAACCCAGGACCCUCGGCGCUCCAGAAUUUGGGAUUUUUGGCAUGCAGUAAGGCAGACAAGUGCAAUGGUGUUGUGCCCCUUCAGUCUUUCCUGGAGUAAUAAACUCUAUGGCAAGUGACUUAUGUCCAGGGCAGGUGUAGGGCAUGUAAAAAUACUCCAUUACCUAGGGCUACAAGCAGCAAAAUGAUGACUUUAAGGGAGGAUUGGUGCAGCAGAUCGCACUCUGCCUUGCCUUUCUGUCCUGUCCUGAUGCGGCAGGACGAGGGUGGCCUGAGGAUGGGGACAGGGGAGCCUGAGGUGUUCUGGGCCAAAAUCUUGAUCUCAGUGCCCUGAACUGGUGGAUGCAGGGCUGCUGCUCUGUGCUGCUGAGCAGCUGAACUUUGUAGCCCCAAGGGUUAGGAGAAAAUAGACCAGCUCUAUCCUUAACCUUUGCAUAGGGAAAUUCACUUCUGCAAUUGCCAGGAAGGAGGCACUGGUCUGGUCCUGAGGGUUUCUGCUUGAGGCCAGGCGUGCCAGCUGGGCUAGUGCCGGCGUGCCCGUAGGGGAUAGAGGUCUAAUUGGGAGGCUGACCAGGGGCCAAGGUGGAGUCGUGGCAGUGAGUCAGUUUGCAAAAGUACAAAGUGAUGUGCUGCCAGGGUGGAAGAAGAGGAAGAGCUUGAGCUAGGGCAGCAUGAAGGAGGAGGAGGAGAGAGAAAGGGUCUCUGUUUUGGGGAAUGGCCCAAGCCCUGUGCCACGGGGAGCGAUGCUCACCUCCUCAGAUAGGACCGGAGAUCAUCAAGCCUCCAUGUGGCUGCUGUGGUUGGAGGCGCGUGAAAGCCCUUGGAGUGUCUCAGCCCUCUCCCCUCCUGGCCUAGAGAUGGUUUGUGCAUCCCUCACUCCAUAAGAUCCACAGCAAGGGUCUGGGUGGUGAACUUCAAGGUCCAAAUCCCUCUGCUGAGCAGGGUGAGGGCCUGUGCAUCACUGCUGGGUGCUCCUGAAACAAGGGUGGUGGUGGUGCACACACACAUGCAGACACAGACACCAUGCUCAGUGAACCUUGGUGCUGAAAAUUUGACUUUGCAACCUUAGCGCUGUUCUAGCAAACCUUGUGUGUGGGUAUUGACUGAGAAGGGAUCCUGUCUAGAUAUGAUUCACCUUCCUUCCCCUUCAAGGAAGGUACAUUUGGGAACCUAUCACCAGGCUGGCAGCAGCUCUGAGAAACACUGACUGUCAUGUUGUGGGGCUAAGAAGGGAGGCCACCUCAAGUACAUUUCUAAAAUCAGUCUCUUUCUGUUAUUUACGACAUUAUUUUGCGUAAUGAGCGUUGCUCAUGAGCCUGUUCUCUGGGAUGGCAUACUGAAGGACCAUAUGUCAUGGUUUGGACUGCCAACACAUCAACAUUGCAAUCGUUUGCAGACUGUUUUAUAUUUCUUUGAUUUGGGAAUCUGUGUAAUUAGCUCCUCAGAACAGCCGGGUAGAGGAAAUGCAGUCUGUUAUUUAGGCAGAAUUAAUAUCCUUGUUCUCUGUAUUUUGAUCCUUAGUUUUCUAGUGCUGCUGCCAGAGUGGUGGAGAGACCAGUGCUGAGACAUUAAUUCCUUGAACCUACCUUCAUUGCAAAACUAUUUCUGCUCCUUUGCUAGGCUGUCCUGAGGACUCACGGACUGGUACAAGACGUGCUGAUGCCAUGAUUAAUAAAUACCCUCUGCAAGUGGCAGCAAAAGAUUGAUAGCUGCCAUCGGAGGUUUCAGCAAGAGGAAAAGCACCAAAGCACUUACACUCACCACCAGUACAACAGUUUGCUGCUGUUUACUCUGUUUUUCUCCAGCGUCCCAGCAGGGUCCAGCUAGCAUUUCCUACCCUUUGUGAAGCAGACCUUGUAAAUAAAUCUUUACUGACCUGCUGUGGCAGAAGUCAUGUAUGAAUGUGUCAGUGGGGAAAGAGUUAUAUUAUUUUAGUAGGUUAACAAGCCCGUAUAGGCUUCUUCACUGUCAGCAUUUGGCCUCAUACCAGGCAUAUGAUCAUUCUGUUACGCUUUCCACUCCUAUUCUGGUGGUUUAUGCAGGUUGGUUUUUAGCACUGUCUAUAUACAGCCAAAAUGCAAGAGGAGAGCACCUAUGUUAAGUGGUCUCCCACUCCCCUGUAGGUGGGAUCUUCAUGCUUGUGCUUCGGAGGCAGGUAAGGGCUCAGCCCCAGGUAGAAAGGGAAGCAAGUGGCUGCAGGUGGGUGGUUAGAGGUUAGGGGUUAGGGCAGUGCUCCCCCAGCCUUAGCAUGAGCACCAACCCUACCUGAGGGCAUCGUCUGAAAGGUCUGAUGCACAUGCAAGUGAAAGGAGAGCAUGUUUUCAUAGAAUCGUAGAACACCAGAUUGGAAGGGACCUCAAAGAUCAUCUGGUCCAACCUUUCUUGCAAAAGCACAGUCUAGACAAGAUGGCCCAGCACCCCAUCCAGCUGAAUCUUCAAAGUGUCCAGUGUUGGGGAUUCCACCACUUCCCUGGGGAGAUUAUUCCAAUGGCUUAUUGUUUUUAUUGUGAAAAAAUUGCCUCUUGUGACCUUCUGUGUCAUUGCAAGUAGCAUGUCUCCCAAACACAUUACCAGUGAGACAGUCUGUCUAGUGCUUUAUUGGCCUCGAUGUCUAAGAUCAUCUGAGCUUGGCCAGAGCUGUUCCUGGUGUCUGGACACUCCCUGGUCAUCUUUCUUCCUCACCCAUGCAGAGGCAUGUGCACACAUGGAUUCUCUAUUGCUUGGUGAAUAGGGAGUUUAUACGGGUCUCUCAAAUGGGAUAAAUUCUCUUUCUGGCCAGGGCAACUCUUACGGGAAUGAAAUAAUCUUUGAUACCAUUGCCUCUCAGUAAAUUUAAUCAAAAUUGGCCAAUAUGCUCAAAAGGUAUUAAAGCUGGGGGGAGGGGAUCAGAGUGCUUUGGGGAUCAGUGUUCCAUACGAAAACAGGCAGAAAGUGUGUGUGUGUGGGCAGUUAUAGAGGAGAAAUCAAAAUUACUAUUUGCAAUCUUAGCAUGCUAUAAUUUAUCCCUCUUUCCCUUUUCUUCUCUUCCACAAGUAAUACAAAUAUGUGAAAUGAUCAUUGUUUGUUCCCAUUAACCCUUUCUGCUCCCUUGGCCAGGUCCACAGACAACACAGACUGCCUUCUCGGGUGGUUUCGAACACCUCCCUCUCCUCAGCUGCUCCUUCUCCUCAGGAGACCUGUCCUUGCUGUGCAUGGAGGGACGCGCUUGGCUCCUCGGCUGCAAAUGGAGCAGAGUUAGAGCAGGGGUAGUUCACCAGGUACUAACUCAUCCUCCCUGGCUCGUGCCAGUGACCCUCUUGUCCUGCCGAAAGGCGCUGCGGACCUGCUGGGUGGUUUGACAUAGCACUGGGUGCAAUAACAGGAGGCGUAGCCAAGGUUAGGUCUGCUGGAUGUGCUGGAACAUGUACCCCCUGGGCACCACCUGACUCAGUUGAAGUAGCUGGCCUGUAGCUGACCCUGAGACUUGUGGCAUUUUGGCUAGAGGGAUGCUGUUUUGACGAUGCUUCUGCAGAUUUAAUGUCAUUUUGGCUUUGCUCCCACUGACAUUGUGUGUCAGCUGGCCCCAUCCUCUCCUCAUGCUCAUCAUCUCCUUUCUGCUGCUUUUUGUCUCGCUAUGCUCAGCCUUAGGCUGUGGGCUUUGCUUCUCUGGGGAAGGGCUCAACAGGCUGCUUCUGCCUUUGGCUAUGCCUAGAUCCCUUUCUCUCCCACAUGUUGCCUACUUUGGUUCAUAAUCUUUAGGUGUUUUAAACUUCAAGGUACUUUUUAGUUAUUUAGUCCUUUUUCCAGAGGUGUUUUGGGGAGCUUGAUGCAGCCACCCCUGCUGCUUAGUCACCAUCCUGGUUUCAGUCCCUUUGGCUGCCACUUGACCAUCCAGACUUUUGGGUAGCUGUAGUGGUGUAACCAGGCAGGAAUUGGACUCCUGAAAAGGCUCCAGAAUGAACUGAACCUACGGGUUGAUUUGGAACUUGGUUGGUCAGUGUAACAGAAAUUAUUUGGUCUGACCCAGAAGAUGGCAUUGUGUUUGUAAAUUGAGUGAAAAGCAAAAAGGGCUCAUGAUGCAUUGAUUUGUUUGAUCAAUAUCUGCUUGGAAAGUAACAAGGUUUUGUUAAGAUUUUUGUGAAUGAGGCUGCUGUUAAUACCUGCUUAUAGGUCAUGGUGACCCUGAAGGUUUCUGACAAGACAUUUGCAAACUCAUUGUGAUUCUAUGAACAUAUGUGUAAAUGAACUGGUAUUUCCCCAAUGAUAAAAGGUCAAAUCCAACAUGUUGCAGAAUAUUUGCAAAUGAAUGUAGGGAAUAGAUAUUUUGGGUCGUAAAAGGGCAUGCCUGAGAGAUUGUUUCUGGGUCUUUUCCCAGGGUGAUACUCUUGGUCUGCUAAGCAAAAGGGGCUGUGAGCAUGAACCAGAUAACAACUCGCUAAUAAGGUUUGUUUUGUAAAAAAGCCCCUUUGAGCUAGUGGUUAAAAUGCUCUUUCUUCCUUUGAUUUUUGCUGGAGAAAGCCUCUGACUUUCUGUAAUAAUUUUUAUCUGUGGGUCGAGUGUUUAGCCUCCAAAGCAUAACUGGUCUGCAUUAAUUAAGCUUUAUCUAAUCUCCGGCUAAAUUGACGGUCAACAAACAAACAGAGCUUUCUCAGGAUGUGUAUGCCUUGCACGUACAUGAUCCACAGCGUAGUUUCACCUCUUGGGCAGAAAGGUGUUCCUCAGUCAGUUUGUGGUGCACUUUCUGAGGGGAAUGUAUCCCCUCCUUACAGCUUAUUUGUGUCAACCAUAUAAUAUUGGUAAGCCUCUUCUCCCAGGAAAUGUGAGUGCCAGAAGAGAUCUGUUCAGACAGCACAGCACCGACAGUGUCCAACAGCUGAAGUAAAGUACUUGUUUUGUAAGAUCUAGUCUUAUUUUGCAUUUUUAUAUUUCCCUCCUUGCUGCAUCUACUUGCCUAAGCUAGUGCCUCUUUGAAAAGAGUAUGGAUUUACAUUUCCAUCAUAUCCAAGCUGGAAAAUAUUACUAAACCCAUGUCUUUCACAGCAUUGUUUACACAGAGUUGUGGGUACAUCCCUGAGACAGGAGUCAGUUUGCCAUGUUGUUGGCAACGUAGGCCAGAUGGUCAUUUUGAAAUGGAACUGAAUGAAAGACAAAAAAUUAUGUAGUGACAAAAUAAAUACCUCCUAUAUAUACACUGGGAGCCUGUGCAUGUGUUUUCAAGGGAUAUCAAGCUGCUACCACAAAUGUUUUUGUUAAAAUUAAACCCAUCGGGACAUUACAUUUUCCCAAUAGGAUUCUUAGGUUUGUUUGUUUGUUUGUUUUGGGUGUGCUUUUUUUUUUUUUUUGCGGGGGGAGGGGAAGGGUUUGUCUUUUGUUUUUUCUCUCUGAGGCAAUCUCUUGUUCACAUCUGAACAUGAAUAUCCAGUUCCAGACUGAUUUUAGGAGAGUUGUGAAAGAUCUGGUUAACUCAGGCCUUCUCAUUGUUUCUGGGUUUCAGUGAAGCAGAGGUGUCUGGUCUUCUCCUGGCUCUAGAGAUGGAGCUGAGCAGCCCUGCUCCAGGAGGAGAGACAGAGACAAAAUAAAGGGAAAUAUGCAAUAGUAAGGCACAUGUUUGUUUAAAGAGCUAUGAGGGAACCUGAAGCCGUAAAUAAAAAUUCCUCCAGGCUCAGCAGGAGAUGCAUCACCUGUUUUCAAUGUGUUUUCACCCUUGAAACCUUCCACAGGAAGAAAUGCAGAAGGAAAAACCUUUUCACUUGUACAAGACAGGAUGCCAGCAAGUGGCAGCAGCUCCCUGCCUGACAAAGAGAAUGUCAACAUCUCACAUCGGCUGCCUGCUCCGUUGUUUAUCUGAAAACGAAGUGACAAAAAAAAAAAGGUAGAAAUCACAAUUUCAUCUGACACUGCUGGAAUAGUUUAGCCCAGGACGGACUUGAGGGGCUGCAAGAGGGUGAAUAAUGAGGAUGCACUGAUCUACUGACUGCGUGGGGUUGCUUACGCACAAAGGCACUGCAGCUUUGGAAACUGAAGAACACACCACCACAAUUUGCUUUUGGGUGGCAAUUCUUCCAAUACCUCUGAACACCAGGUGACGAGCUGUAGCCAAAAGCCAAUUGGGCUCAAAGCAGGCAGAAUAUACCACUCCUGUGCCCAUCUGUUAUCACAUAAUUACAGAGCAGGCUAGAGUCCGACUUGGUGUGACCAGGAACAACUCUAUUGACUUCAGCACGGUUUUACUCAAUUAAAUGAUAGGACGAUGGAAAUAGCCCAACAAAUCUGAUUUUCAAAAUAACAACACUGGUGUUUUCUGGGAAAAAAAAAAAAAAAAAGAAGAAACUAAUGCUAUACUGCAAGUAGCACCCCAGCAAACUUAACACAGUAAACUAGGCUGACUUCAGCUGUGGAGGCUGAAAUGGGUAGGAAGGAAUGCUACCAUUUCUCAGUUUUGUUUUCUUUUCACCAACUGAAGAAAGUUGCUAUUGUUGUUUGUUUGUUUUGAAAUGACUGAGCGAAAUGACUGAAGAUUGAAUUGCUGGAAAUAUCUGCAAGAUGAGUUCUGGAAGGCAGCAGCCUUCAUACAUAUUCCCAUCCACAGACCAUGCCGCUCUUAGUGAGGGAGCACAAGACUGCUGCAAUGGAAAAAUUUAGCAGUUGUGUCCUCCCAGUUUCUCCCUCUUCCUAGAGAAAUCGAAUCCUUGUGGAGAUGCUUUGGAAACUACCUCUCCACUUUCCUCACUUUUCUGUCCUUGUUAUGUACAAGUUGGCUCCAUAAUUAUACGUCUCCUGACCAUGGAUGUUCCUCCGAGGUGAUUCCACAUUCAGUAUAUCCAGAACACCAGAGGGCAGCAAAAGUGUUAAAGCAGAAAUUGCAAAAGCCUCAACCUUCCCAACAGAAGCACCUCUGUGAUGAUAAAACGGGAUUGAGUAAGAGGUUCAUAAUGCCUUGACAGUAUCAAUUAAAGAGAAAGUGGUAGAAAAACAAUGUAAUUAUGACACUAUCAACAUUGUGCAAUGGCUGCUUCUGAACAGCGCUGCUGGAAGCUGUUGUGACCCAUAUGUAUGAAAAUGGAAGAGAAAUACCAAAAGGUUGCUGAGAGUAGUAGAGGCAGGAGGUCUUUAACUCUCAGUAAGUCAUACAAUAGUGUUAUAGCUCUUAAAAAUUACAUGCUCCCUCCUCCACUGCAGAAGCCAUAUGUACCCCACCCUCUGGACUAGAGAUUGCAGGUCUGUGUAAGUACCUUCCACAGGUAGCAACACUUGCCAGUUCUUCUUGCCUAUUCCAUCUAAUGCAAGUAAUUAAAAUCAGGAUGGUGGAUUCUCCUCGGUGUAGCCAUCUGGUGAGGUCUUACACUGUCCAAGGAAGACCCAUGGCACAGGUGUCUGCCUCUCCUUAGAAGGUAAAAAUCACGAGAUGUCAGAGAGAGCACCAAAUCCAGUCCUCUUCUUCCCAUUUAAGAAGAAAUAAAAACGUUAUGCUCCU